UACAGAGGUCUCAACCGUUGUUCGGAUUCAUUGGGCGUAAAGGGUGCGUAGGCGGCGCGGUAAGUCGGGUGUGAAAUCUCGGAGCUUAACUCCGAAACUGCAUUCGAUACUGCCGUGCUUGAGGACUGGAGAGGAGACUGGAAUUUACGGUGUAGCGGUGAAAUGCGUAGAUAUCGUAAGGAAGACCAGUGGCGAAGGCGGGUCUCUGGACAGUCCCUGACGCUGAGGCACGAAGGUCAGGGGAGCAAACGGG
rnacentral:rRNA from 1 species